rnacentral:rRNA from 1 species
UCUGAUGGAGCACGCCGCGUGUGCGAAGAAGGCCUUNNNGGUUGUAAAGCACUGUUGUAAGGGAAGAACAGAUGUGAGAGGAAAUGCUCAUAUUGUGACGGUACCUUACCAGAAAGCCACGG